rnacentral:rRNA from 1 species
UACGGGGGGAGCGAGCGUUGUUCGGAAUCACUGGGCGUAAAGGGCGCGUAGGCGGCUGAAUAAGUCAGAGGUGAAAUCCCAGGGCUUAACCUUGGAAUUGCCUUUGAUACUGCUCGGCUAGAGGACGGAAGAGGAUAGUGGAAUUCCUGGUGUAGCGGUGAAAUGCGUAGAUAUCAGGAAGAACACCGGUGGCGAAGGCGGCAUCCUGGACUGGUCCUGACACUCAGGAGCGAAAGCGUGGGGAGCGAUCCGG